rnacentral:rRNA from 1 species
UACAGAGGGUGCAAGCGUUGUCCGGAAUUAUUGGGCGUAAAGAGCUCGUAGGCGGUUUGUCGCGUCUGCUGUGAAAACUGGAGGCUCAACCUCCAGCCUGCAGUGGGUACGGGCAGACUAGAGUGCGGUAGGGGAGAUUGGAAUUCCUGGUGUAGCGGUGGAAUGCGCAGAUAUCAGGAGGAACACCGAUGGCGAAGGCAGAUCUCUGGCCGUAACUGACGCUGAGGAGCGAAAGCAUGGGAGCGAACAGG